rnacentral:rRNA from 1 species
UUUAGAGAUAGAGGAGUGCUCGAAAGAGAACCGUAACACAGGUGCUGCAUGGCUGUCGUCAGCUCGUGUCGUGAGAUGUUGGGUUAAGUCCCGCAACGAGCGCAACCCUUGUCAUUAGUUGCUACAUUCAGUUGGGCACUCUAAUGAGACUGCCGGUGACAAGCCGGAGGGAGGUGGGGAUGACGUCAAGUCCUCAUGGCCCUUAUAGGUGGGGCUACACACGUCAUACAAUGGCUGGUACAAAGGGUUGCCAACCCGCGAGGGGGAGCCAAUCCCAUAAAGCCAGUCGUAGUCCGGAUCGUAGUCUGCAACUCGACUACGUGAAGUCGGAAUCGCUAGUAAUCGUGGAUCAGAAUGUCACGGUGAAUACGUUCCCGGGUCUU